CUGAGGCAGCCCAUCAGGUCACCCUUCUCUCCCUCCGGACGAGGCUCGCCUUCCUCUCCCUCCAGGCCGCCGAGACGCGUAGAGAGGCAGCCAUCGAGGCACCCUUCACUCCUUCUCGAGGUGUCCGACGGCGUGGAGGAGAGGAGUACGAUGCGCCUACCUCUUUCCUAGGGGGGAGGAUGUAAUUGGCGCCCUCCUCUACCUCCCGAGGCAGUGGGGAAAUGGGAGGAGCUGAGGGGAGGGGUUAUGUGCCCAAUCUCCUUCUCAAGACGGCUAUUGGCGCGGAGGAGGACAUGGGUAUCCUCCUCUCCCUCCCAAGAAUGAUCGGCUAUGGGAGGAUCCGACGCUGACGAUGCCCUUCUUCUAAUGUAUCCGCCGCCAGGCAGGAGCGACUGAAUUCUUAAGAUGUUUGCUUCCAGUGGCUGAAGAUACAAUGAAAUAUUUCGCAAAGAAUGGGGGUGCAAGAAUGAAUAAUAGCAAUUGUGUUUUUCUGCAAGCAUGAUCAAAUGCUAGCUGUAUUUAUUUCCUAUUCAAAUUAUGUGUCACCAUUGAGCC